rnacentral:rRNA from 1 species
AACGAACGUUAGCGGCGCGCUUAACACAUGCAAGUCGCACGAGAAAGGGAGCAAUCCCCGGUACAGUGGCGCACGGGUGAGUAACACGUAGGUAAUCUUCCCUCGAGUGGUGGAUAACCUUCCGAAAGGGAGGCUAAUACAGCAUAAGACCACGGGAGCGAAAGCUUCUGAGGUCAAAGUCGGCCUCUAUACAUAAGCUGGCGCUUGAGGAUGAGCCUGCGGCCCAUCAGCUAGUUGGUAGGGUAAUGGCCUACCAAGGCGAAGACGGGUAGCUGGUCUGAGAGGAUGAUCAGCCACACUGGAACUGAGACACGGUCCAGACUCCUACGGGAGGCAGCAGUGGGGAAUCUUGCGCAAUGGGCGAAAGCCUGACGCAGCGACGCCGCGUGAGUGAUGAAGGCCUCGG